rnacentral:rRNA from 1 species
AUUGAACGCUGGCGGCAUGCCUUACACAUGCAAGUCGAACGGUAAGGCCCUUUCGGGGGUACACGAGCGGCGAACGGGUGAGUAACACGUGGGUGACCUGCCCUCAGCUCUGGGAUAAGCCUGGGAAACCGGGUCUAAUACUGGAUAUGACUCCAUGACGCAUGUUGUGGGGUGGAAAGCCUUGUGCGGCUGAGGAUGGGCCCGCGGCCUAUCAGCUUGUUGGUGGGGGUGAUGGCCUACCAAGGCGACGACGGGUAGCCGGCCUGAGAGGGCGACCGGCCACACUGGGACUGAGACACGGCCCAGACUCCUACGGGAGGCAGCAGUGGGGAAUCUUGCGCAAUGGGCGAAAGCCUGACGCAGCGACGCCGCGUGAGGGAUGACGGCCUGGUGUAAC